GAUCGAACGGCGUAGCUACAGGCGUUAACACAUGCAAGUCGAGGGGCAGCAUGGUCUUAGCUUGCUAAGGCCGAUGGCGACCGGCGCACGGGUGAGUAACACGUAUCCAACCUGCCGUCUACUCUUGGACAGCCUUCUGAAAGGAAGAUUAAUACAAGAUGGCAUCAUGAGUCCACAUGUUCACAUGAUUAAAGGUAUUCCGGUAGACGAUGGGGAUGCGUUCCAUUAGAUAGUAGGCGGGGUAACGGCCCACCUAGUCUUCGAUGGAUAGGGGUUCUGAGAGGAAGGUCCCCCACAUUGGAACUGAGACACGGUCCAA
rnacentral:rRNA from 1 species